UCUACUCCUACGGCACCCGCAUCCGCACGGCUUACCAAAAAUCAGGCGUGCACCUUAUCGGGCGACAGGCGGACCCGGUAAUGGGUAGCGAACCCUCCCUAAUUCUCCGUCCCUAUCCCUUCACAUUCGUCCGCUACCCUGGGGAACGAACGGGCAGCCGCCGCUGAGCGGUGGCGGCGCAAGCGACGUCCCAAAGUUCGGUCCUCCAUCCGCAUCCACCCUCCUGCACAUCCGUCGGCGACGCGUGGACAACUAGCGGCGUUGGAGCAAACGUCCGUCCCUAUCUCGAUCCCCUUUCCUCCAUCCGCAUCCGAGGGAUGAGCAGCCGGCGGCGGCGGCCACGCAUACGAGCUGUUUCUUGGCGAACUCGACGAGGUAAGUGAUCGAUUUGAAGGUUCUGGAAUUACGGGUAUUAAUUUUUUUCUACUCACCUAUAUGGAAUUACGGGUAUUAGUUUUGAUCUACUCACCAAGAUGCAAUACGGCUGCAGAUUGAGAUUUUUUUUUUGGAUGAUCCUAGCGCAUGGCCAGAUGGAACGGCAUCAGAUAUGUUCCUGCUUGUGCCCCUCGCAUUUAUGCGAGCAUGCGCACCAUGGAGUUGUUUUGGGGGUGUGAAUUCGAAACUGGAGCACGCUGCUGGGUGCCGGCGUCCUCAGAUGGCGAUGGGCACGUCCGCUUCACCUGUAGGCCAUGCGCAGUCGUGUCUCUUCAGAUGAUAGUAUCUCUUCAUACCAAAAUCAGAUGAUAGCUUAUCUUUUGCUACAGACGAAUUUAGUUUUAUCAAGUUGAGAAUACUCUCCGAACGUGCAUAUACUCCUGUAAUUGACACUCCCUGUUUUUUGCAUGUCAGUUGUCAGGUACAUCAGCUCCUCUGGAUUGAUACUCUGAAUUCGGAUGGCAUAUCUACUGAGCAUGUUCCUGUUCGCUGAUCCUGAAUGUUUAGACGGUAUACCCCAAUAUAGUGACAUCAUUGGCUGGAGAAGGUUAUAAGUAGAGUAAAUUUCACUGCAGGUCCAUAAACUUUUCCCGAAGUCCCAUCUAGGUCCAUCAACUUUUAAAUGGGUCAUUUAGGCCCACGAUCUAUUUAAGCGUUGCUGUGGAGGUCCAAAUGCCUAAACGGAGGCUUCUCUUGCCUACAUGGAUCGUCCAACGUGGAGGCUAGGUCAUGCGAGCUGUUAGAUGCCUGGUUUUAUUUUGCAAUCCUCUGGAAGGCCUAUUCCUCCAACCACUGCCACCAAAUCUGGAAGGGUGUCAAGACCAUCGGCCAAGAGGAAGGCUACAGAACAAUCAACAAAGAAGAAGGGUACUGAACCGGCAACUAAAAAAAAGUAUUCUGGAGCAGCAGCAAAGAAGAAGGCUGGAUAGUAAGGUCCGAAAUGGAGGCUGGCCAAUAUUUUGUGGAUGAUAGUUGUCUUUUGUGUAGUUAUAUACACCUACAAGCAUCUUCUGCAGAUGAUACUUGUCUUUUGUAAAUGGCAAUGUUGCCUUUUUGUGUCAUAUUUAGGGAACGCUACCACCUGAAACUACAACGUGAUGGCAUAUCAGAUAGUUUAUAUCCUGUAAGAUGAAACUACUACUACAUUAUGCAAUGCAACGCAUUGUAUAACUGAUGCUUCUCAUAGUAUUGUCACUGCAUUUCAAAUGAUCAGAUAGAUAGAACUUGCAUUCAUGCAAACAAAGAUAUGAACGGACGAAGUCUAUGGAGGGUUGCAUUGCAAAAUAAACCAGGCGUCCAACAGCUCGCAUGACCCAACCUCCACGCUGGACAAUCCACGUAGGCAAGAGAAGCCUCCGUGUAGGCAUUUGGACCUCCACACUAACGCUUAAAUAGAUUGUGGACCUAAAUGACCGAUUUAAAAGUUGAUGGACUUAGAUGGGACUUCGGGAAAAGUUUAUGGACCUACAGUGAAAUUUAGUCUUAUAAGUAU